AUGAACGCUGGCGGCGUGCCUAAUACAUGCAAGUCGAGCGAACAGACGAGGAGCUUGCUCCUCUGACGUUAGCGGCGGACGGGUGAGUAACACGUGGAUAACCUACCUAUAAGACUGGGAUAACUUCGGGAAACCGGAGCUAAUACCGGAUAAUAUAUUGAACCGCAUGGUUCAAUAGUGAAAGACGGUUUUGCUGUCACUUAUAGAUGGAUCCGCGCCGCAUUAGCUAGUUGGUAAGGUAACGGCUUACCAAGGCGACGAUGCGUAGCCGACCUGAGAGGGUGAUCGGCCACACUGGAACUGAGACACGGUCCAGACUCCUACGGGAGGCAGCAGUAGGGAAUCUUCCGCAAUGGGCGAAAGCCUGACGGAGCAACGCCGCGUGAGUGAUGAAGGUCUUCGGAUCGUAAAACUCUGUUAUUAGGGAAGAACAAAUGUGUAAGUAACUAUGCACGUCUUGACGGUACCUAAUCAGAAAGCCACGGCUAGCUACGUG
rnacentral:rRNA from 1 species